rnacentral:lncRNA from 1 species
UCUCUGGAUUUUUCCAGAUUUCUCUCCCUUUCUCUGCUGCACCAGAAUUUUCUCCCUCUCUCCAGAAUUUUCUCUCCCCCCUCUCUCCAGAUUUUUCUCACCGACUUUUACACCCUAUAAAUAGGGGUUCUUGCCCCUUGUGUGUGUGUGUGAAAAAGUGUGAGGAGUGUGUGAUGUGAGUGGAGUGCGUACGUGAAUGUGUGAGUGGGUGGAGUAGGUAACGUGAGUGUAGAGUGAAGUAAGUGAGUGGGUGUGUGUGCAAGAAUUGUGUUCGUGUGAGGUGUGAGAGGUGUAUGAGAGUGGUGUAAUAUUGUUUAUACAAAAUAAAGUAAUUAUUUUACUUGUACAUCCACUUACUUCUCAACAAGUGGUAUCAGAGCAGGUUGUCGGAGGCCGUGCGAAGACAGUGGUCAGGGACCAUUGUAAGUGAGCAAGGCGGUCAGGGAUCGUCGAGCGAAGGAGCGAAGAAGCGAAGGACGUCGGAGUUCUGCCAGUGCACAAUCUGGGAUUGUGAAGUUGGUUGGUCCGGGACCAGGCUUACUUGGUAUAGUGCGGGGCAUUAUACUCAAGUCACGAUGGCGGAUUUCUCGAGUUUGGUAAGUGGAAUCGAGAAGCUCAACAACUCAAAUUAUAAUAAUUGGAGUACCCGCAUACAAUAUUACUUGCUAGGACAAGAUUUGUGGGAUAUUAUUGGCGGGAGCAACACCACCCCACCCACGAAUGAUAGCGAAUUAAGAAAAUGGAAUAUAAAAUCGGGUAAGGCUCUUUAUAUGCUUGCCGUGACUGUUGAAGAUGAAUUACUGCAACACAUAAAGAGUGCGACGACCCCGAAGGAGGCCUGGGAUAACUUGGCAACGCUGUUUGCAAGGACAAACGAUGCCAAGUUACAAUGCCUGGAGAACGAGCUCCUCUCAAUCUCGCAACAAAAUAUGACGGUGAGUCAAUACUUUUCUAAAGUUAAAUCUAUUUGUGAAGAAAUUUCAAAAUUAGAUCCUGAGAAUGCCAUCUCUGAGACAAGAAUGAGAAGAAUAAUAAUUCACGGGUUAAGGCCGGAAUAUAAUGGUAUUGUUACGGCCACUCGUGGAUGGGCAAAUGAGCCAACUCUAACAGAGUUGGAGAAUAUAUUGGCCAACCAAGAAGCCUUAGAUAAACAAAUUUCUAAGGUCUCAAUUAAGGAAGAUGAAAAUGCCCUCUUUAGCAAUAAAAGAGGGUUCAAGGGCCAAAAUAGAAAUAGAGCAAGUGCAAGAGAUGGCAAACCAUGGAAAAGUCAUGGAGAAUGGCAAAAACGAAUAGAAGGAACUCAACCUCGGCCAGGGGGAGCUCGUCGAGACCGCGAUAAGGAGGAAAAUGAAGAAAAGAAGAAUAGAAGGCGUAAUGGACGGUGUUACACGUGUGGCAAAGUAGGUCACUUUGCCAGGGAUUGUCGAUUCAAAAGAGUUGAAGGAAAUGUCGCAGCAUCCCAGGAAAAUGAUAGCGAAGAAGAGUGGGAUUUUCAAGCAUCCUUUGCAAUGGAGGAACGAGAAGAUGCGAUGGCCCUCAUCAUGGUAAGUGAUAAAUUGAUUGAUUAUGAAGAAGAUUGGAUAGUCGACUCGGGGUGCUCAAAUCACAUGACCGGAGAUCAAGGCAAGCUAUCAAACAUGUGCGAGUACAAAGGUGGACGAGUAGUUGUCACCGUAGACAACUCAAGGUUGCCGAUUACCCAUGUGGGCCAAACGAUGAUGACACCCCGAUUCAGUUCGCAUCAAGUCGAACUGAAAAAUGUGUACCAUGUGCCAGGAAUGAAGAAGAAUCUAUUGUCUGUGGCACAACUUACAGACUCAGGCAAUUAUGUGGUGUUUGGUCCUAGAGACGUUAGGGUGUACCGCAAUUUGAAACCAACUGGUACACCAAUCAUGGAGGGGCGUCGAUUAGAGUCUGUCUACGUGAUGUCAGCUCAGACGGCAUACGUGGACAAAACUCGAAAGAGUGAAACACCUGAUUUGUGGCAUGCACGGCUUGGGCACGUGAGCUACCAUAAAUUAAAGGUGAUGAUGAAGAAAGGUAUGCUAAAAGGUCUCCCCCACUUGGAAGUCCAAGAAGAUGCCAUCUGUGCUGGAUGCCAGUAUGGGAAGGCACAUCAGCUUCCAUAUGAAGAGUCCAAAUUUAGAGCUAAGAUGCCUCUCGAGCUUGUCCACUCAGAUGUAUUUGGACCAGUGAAGCAAUUGUCAGUCAGAGGAUCAAAGUACAUGAUAACAUUCAUCGACGAUUUCUCCAGGUACGUCUGGGUCGACUUCAUGAAAGAAAAAUCUGAAGCAUUAAACAAAUUUAAGGAGUUUAAAGCAAAAGUAGAAUAUGAAGUAGGCAAGAAAAUACUAUGCCUUCGCACGGAUAAUGGGGGAGAAUACACAUCAGAUGACUUUACAAAAUUUCUUCAAGAAUGGAAGAUACGUCGACAAUUUACUUGCCCAAAUACGCCACAACAAAAUGGAGUUGCCGAAAGAAAGAAUCGGCAUUUGGCGGAGACAUGCAGGAGUAUGUUGCAUGCGAAGAGUGUUCCACCCAAGUUUUGGGCUGAGUGUAUGAAGACGGCAGCGCACGUGAUCAAUAGACUACCUCAAGCAAGGCUUGGUUUUACGUCACCUUAUGAGAAGUUGUGGAAUCGCAAGCCCACAGUAAGUCACUUUAGAAUAUUUGGGUGUGUAUGUUAUGCAUUCGUGCCAGACCAUCUUCGUAACAAGUUCGAUAAAAAGGCAGUUCGCUGCAUAUUCAUGGGCUACGAUGAUCAAAGAAAAGGAUGGAAGUGUUGUGACCCUACAACAGGGAGGUGUUACACUUCCAGAAAUGUGGUGUUCGACGAACUAUCAUCUUGGUGGACAUCACAACCUAAUUCAAAACAAGUUGAAGAAGAGAUUCGUGAAGGAAUGGAAGAAAAUGACAAGAUUGAUAAGGGCCAACCAAUUGAAGAAGGAAAUGAUAAUGUAAUUGGAAGAAAAGAAGUCGGAGCACAGUCACCAGAAAAAUCAAAGAGCCCAUGGCGAACUGGUGUACAUACAAGAACUACAGAAGAGUUCCGACCAAGUCAGAUGGAAGAACCUGAAGAGGAGGAAUCUCAACUAAGGAGAUCAACAAGACAAAGAAGACCAAAUCCCAAAUAUGCAAAUGCAGCGCUGACCGAAGAUGUCGGAGUAGUCGAGCCGUCCACAUAUGAGGAAGCUUCGCAAGACAUGGAAUGGAGGAAAGCCAUGGAGGAAGAGAUGCAAGCACUAAGAAAGAACGAAACAUGGGACCUAGUACCGAGACCUAAAGAGGUACGUCCUAUAUCUUGCAAAUGGGUCUAUAAACUUAAAACUCGACCAGAUGGGUCGAUAGAAAGAUAUAAAGCACGACUAGUUGCUCGAGGAUUCUCUCAAAAGUAUGGCCUAGAUUAUGAUGAGACCUUUAGUCCAGUAGCAAAGAUCACUACAGUUCGAGUCUUACUAGCACUUGCAGCAAGCAAGUCGUGGAAAUUAUGGCAAAUGGAUGUCAAGAAUGCCUUCUUACAUGGAGAACUAGAUCGAGAUAUAUACAUGGAGCAGCCAUAUGGUUUCAAAAGUAAGAUUCAUCCAGAUUAUGUUUGUAAGUUAAAGAAAGCUCUCUAUGGCUUAAAACAAGCCCCGAGAGCAUGGUAUGGGAAGAUUGCUGAAUUUCUGGUGCAAAGUGGCUACUUUGUAGCCCCAGCAGACUCGAGCUUGUUUGUAAAGGUAGAAGAUGACAAGCUUGCGAUAGUAUUAAUCUACGUGGAUGAUCUAAUCAUCACUGGAGAUAAUGAAAAUGAGAUAUGCCAAAUUAGAACCAACCUCUCAGUGCGGUUCCAGAUGAAAGAGCUUGGAGAAUUAAAACAUUUCCUAGGACUUGAGAUUGAGAAGACCAAUGAAGGAUUAUUCCUAUGUCAGCAGAAGUAUGCACGAGACCUCCUAGACAAGUUCAGGAUGCUUGACUGCAAACCUAUUUCUACUCCGAUUGAUGGAAAUAUAAAGUUAUGUGCAAUUGAAGGACGAGAAUUGGAAGACUCAAAUAUGUACAGGCAAUUGGUGGGUAGCCUUAUUUACCUAACCAUAACACGGCCUGAUAUUGCCUUUGCAGUGGGAGUAGCAAGCCGAUUCAUGGAGAAGCCGCGAAGGCCCCACUUAGAUGCAGUCAGGCGCAUACUAAGGUAUGUAAAGGGUACAUUUGAUUUUGGACUUCUGUAUAGGAAAGAAGCAUCAUGUGAAGUUGUAGGCCAUUGCGAUGCUGACUUUGCCGGAGAUCGUGACACGCGACGAUCAACUACUGGAUAUAUGUUUAGCCUCGGAUCGGCAGUAGUGUCAUGGUGUAGCAAAAGACAGGCAACUGUGUCACUAUCUACAACAGAAGCUGAGUAUAGAGUAGCAGCAAUGGCAGCACAAGAAAGUACAUGGCUGGUACAGCUAAUGGAGGAUCUCCAUCAACCAAUAAAUCAACCUACACGGAUAUAUUGUGAUAAUCUGUCAGCCAUAAGCUUAGCGGAAAAUCCAGUUUUCCAUGCGAGGACCAAGCAUGUAGAAGUGCACUAUCAUUUCCUACGAGAAAAAGUAUUACAAGACGAGAUAAAGAUGGAGUAUGCCAAAACAGAUGAUCAAGUUGCAGAUAUCUUCACCAAAGGUCUUAGAGCUGUAAAAUUCGAAGAGUUUCGAAGGCAACUUGGUAUGACCACGAUGUCCAUGCUAAGAGAGAGUAGUCGGUGAGGGGGAGUGUCAGAAAAAAGGGGAGCACCGCCUCUCUCUCUUUCUCUGGAUUUUUCCAGAUUUCUCUCCCUUUCUCUGCUGCACCAGAAUUUUCUCCCUCUCUCCAGAAUUCUCUCCCCCCUCUCUCCAGAUUUUUCUCACCGACUUUUACACCCUAUAAAUAGGGGUUCUUGCCCCUUGUGUGUGUGUGUGAAAAAGUGUGAGGAGUGUGUGAUGUGAGUGGAGUGCGUACGUGAAUGUGUGAGUGCGUGGAGUAGGUAACGUGAGUGUAGAGUGAAGUAAGUGAGUGGGUGUGUGUGCAAGAAUUGUGUUCGUGUGAGGUGUGAGAGGUGUAUGAGAGUGGUGUAAUAUUGUUUAUAUAAAAUAAAGUAAUUAUUUUACUUGUACAUCCACUU